rnacentral:rRNA from 1 species
GACGAACGCUGGCGGCGUGCCUAAUACAUGCAAGUCGAACGCAGUGGGGACGGGUGAGUAACACGUGGGUAACCUCCCAUCAGAGGGGAUAACACUUGGAAACAGGUGCUAAACCGAUACUGAUGGAUGGACCCGCGGUGCAUUAGCUAGUUGGUGAGGUAACGGCUCACCAAGGCCACGAUGCAUAGCCGACCUGAGAGGGUGAUCGGCCACACUGGGACUGAGACACGGCCCAGACUCCUACGGGAGGCAGCAGUGGGGAAGCUUGGGCAAUGGGCGAAAGUCUGACCCAGCAACGCCGCGUGAGUGAAGAAGGUCUUCGGAUCGUAAAUCACUGUUGUUAGGGAGGCGGUAUCUACCCAAAAAGCCACGGCUAACUACGUGCCAGCAGCCGCGGUAAUUC